AACAGCUCAAAUUUGAAAUCUGGCCCCUUGGGGGUCCGAGUUGUAAUUUGUAGAGGGUGUUUCGGGCGCGAUGCCGGUNUAAGUUCCUUGGAACAGGACGUCGUAGAGGGUGAGAAUCCCGUAUGCGACCGGCGAUCAAGCCUGUGUGAAGCCCCUUCGACGAGUCGAGUUGUUUGGGAAUGCAGCUCAAAAUGGGUGGUAAAUUUCAUCUAAAGCUAAAUAUUGGCCAGAGACCGAUAGCGGACAAGUAGAGUGAUCGAAAGAUGAAAAGCACUUUGGAAAGAGAGUCAAACAGUACGUGAAAUUGUUGAAAGGGAAGCGCUUGCAAUCAGACCGGUCCGGAGGCGAUCAGCCGCUGCUCGUCAGCGGUGCACUCGCCUGCGAUCCGGCCAGCAUCGGUUCGGGCGGCGGGAUAAAAGUCCCGGGAAUGUAGCUUCUUUCGGGGAGUCUUAUAGCCCGGGUCGCAAUGCCGCCCGCCCGGACCGAGGACCGCGCUUCGGCUAGGAUGCUGGCGUAAUGGUUGCAAGCGACCCGUCUUGAAACACGGACCAAGGAGUCUAACAUCUAUGCGAGUGUUUGGGUGUCAAACCCAGGCGCGGAAUGAAAAUGAACGGAGGUGGGAACCCGUNAGACGGCGCACCAUCGACCGAUCCAGAUGUCUUCGGAUGGAUUUGAGUAUGAGCAUAGCUGUUGGGACCCGAAAGAUGGUGAACUAUGCCCGGAUAGGGUGAAGCCAGAGGAAACUCUGGUGGAGGCUCGCAGCGGUUCUGACGUGCAAAUCGAUCGUCAAAUCUAGGCAUAGGGGCGAAAGACCAAUCGAACCAUCUAG
rnacentral:rRNA from 1 species